rnacentral:lncRNA from 1 species
CGCCCGCAAAGUCUGGGGCCAUUCCGAGUCCGGCGGACGAACUUCGCCCACGCCCCCCGCCAAGGCUAUAGCCCACCCGUUUUUUGGCCAUUCUUCCGCUGGGGGGUGUUGGCGCCCCGACCUUCGGGCACUCAUUUUUGGGCGCGGCUGUGCCCGUGGCCUAUUUUUGGCACACGGAGGCCGCCCGCAAAGUCUGGGGCCAUUCCGAGUCCGGCGUACGAACUUCGCCCACGCCCCCCACCAAGGCUAUAGCCCACACGUUUUUUGGCCAUUUUUCCGCUGGGGGGUGUUGGCGCCCCGACCUUCAGAUGCUCAUUUUUGGGUGCGGCUGUGCCCGAGGCAUAUUUUUGGCAAACGGAGGCCGCCCGCAAAGUCUGGGGCCAUUCCGAGUCCGGCGGACGAACUUCGCCCACGCCCCCCACCAAGGCUAUAGCACACCCGUUUCUUGGCCUUUUUUCCGCUGGGGGGUGUUGGUGCCCCGACCUUCGGGUGCUCAUUUUUGGGCGCGGCUGUGCCCGUGGCCUAUUUUUGGCACACGGAGGCCGCCCGCAAAGUUUGGGGCCAUUCCGAGUCCGGCGUACGAAAUUCGCCCACGCCCCCCACCAAGGCUAUAGCCCACACGUUUUUUUGCCAUUUUUCCGCUGGGGGGUGUUGGCGCCCCGACCUUCGGAUGCUCAUUUUUGGGCGCGGCUGUGCCCGUGGCCUAUUUUUGGCAAACGGAGGCCGCCCGC